rnacentral:rRNA from 1 species
CAGCCGCCGCGGGAAUACGAAGGGGGCUAGCGUUGUUCGGAAUUACUGGGCGUAAAGCGCACGCAGGCGGCUCGAUAAAUUAGAAGUGAAAGCCUUGGGCUUAACCUGAGAAUUGCUUUUAAGACUGUCGAGCCAGAAUCCAGAAGAGGGUAGUGGAAUUCCGAGUGUAGAGGUGAAAUUCGUAGAUAUUCGGAAGAACACCAGUGGCGAAGGCGACUACCUGGUCUGGCAUUGACGCUCAUGUGCGAAAGCGUGGGGAGCAAACAGGAUUAGAUACCCCAGUAGUCCCUGUCUCUUAUAC